rnacentral:rRNA from 1 species
UGCAGUCGAGGGGUAACAGGGUUUUCGGACUGCUGACGACCGGCGCACGGGUGCGUAACGCGUAUACAAUCUACCUUUUGCUAAGAGAUAGCCCAGAGAAAUUUGGAUUAAUAUUUUAUGGUAUGUUAGUAUGGCAUCAUACAGACAUUAAAGGUCACGGCAAAAGAUGAGUAUGCGUUCUAUUAGCUAGAUGGUAAGGUAACGGCUUACCAUGGCAACGAUAGAUAGGGGCCCUGAGAGGGGGAUCCCCCACACUGGUACUGAGACACGGACCAGACUCCUACGGGAGGCAGCAGUGAGGAAUAUUGGACAAUGGAGGGAACUCUGAUCCAGCCAUGCCGCGUGCAGGAAGACUGCCCUAUGGGUUGUAAACUGCUUUUAUACAAGAAGAAUAAGAGAUACGUGUAUCUUGAUGACGGUAUUGUAUGAAUAAGCACCGGCUAACUCCGUGCCAGCAGCCGCGGUAAUACGGAGGGUGCAAGCGUUAUCCGGAAUCAUUGGGUUUAAAGGGUCCGUAGGCGGAUUAAUAAGUCAGUGGUGAAAGUCUGCAGCUUAACUGUAGAAUUGCCAUUGAUACUGUUAGUCUUGAAUUAUUAUGAAGUAGUUAGAAUAUGUAGUGUAGCGGUGAAAUGCAUAGAUAUUACAUAGAAUACCGAUUGCGAAGGCAGGCUACUAAUAAUAUAUUGACGCUGAUGGACGAAAGCGUGGGUAGCGAACAGGAUUAGAUACCCUGGUAGUCCACGCCGUAAACGAUGGUCACUAGCUG